rnacentral:rRNA from 1 species
AUAUUACUAAGCGGAGGAAAAGAAAUUAACAAAGAUUGCCUUAGUAAGGGCGACUGAACCGGCAAAAGCUCGAAAUUGGAAUCGGCUGUUCAAUGAACUACCGAAUUGUAAUCAGGCUACCCUAAAUACAGUCGUUGGCUCAAGAGUCUCGAAAGGCUCGCCACAGAGGGUGAAAGUCCCGUACAGCCUUCGGCCGAGUAAGGGAAGCUCUACGAGAGUCGGGUUGCUUGGAACUGCAGCCCUAAGUGGGAGAUAUGAUUCUUCCAAAGCUAAAUAAGGAUGGGAGACCGAUAGCGCACAAGUA